rnacentral:tRNA from 1 species
GCUGUGGCUCAGUGGUACAACAUCUGUUUGGCACACGCAGAAGGUCAUGGGUUCAAACAACCAUCAUCUCCA